GCCUGGGUGGCUCAGUGGUUGAGCGUCUGCCUUUGGCUCAGGACAUGAUCCCAGAUCUGGGAUCGAAUCCCACAUCGGGCU
rnacentral:tRNA from 1 species